CUUAUCUCGGCUCGUAAAUGAUCUGCAUCGAGAUGCAGUCUCUUGAGGGUCACAGCGGGACCAAGUUUCGCCGAGGAAAAGAAGGGGGGGGGGGGUUGCUCUAGCCUUCGAAGGGAUCUCCCCGGCUGCGCGCUGCAGGUGGAAAGCUGCGCACUGAGCAGCUCCGAGGACCGCUCAGCACCCCCAGGGAAUAAAUAAGUGGGGGGAACAGACUGCGCACAGGCUGAGAGAACCUCAUUCUCCGGGUUCCAACUGCAGAGUGCUUUCCAGAGGAUCGGGAGAAAGUCCCGUGGGAACAAAGACGGGGUCCCCGUGGGGUGCGCUGUCACCGAAACCGGCGGAGCCGCUUUCUCAAGUUUGUGGCUGCUCGGUUGCCGGGCGGGCGAAGGAGGGGUGCUCGCGCUCGCCCCUCGCUGAGCAACCUGAGCGCCCCGGCGGGAGCCGCUCCAACGCCGCCGCCCUGCCCUGGCCCCCUCCCGGCCGCGGUCCCCUCUGUGCGCUCACGGACUCGACCCCUGCCACUGCCGGAAAAGGAAGAGUGAAAUCAAAGGAAUUUACACUUCCAAAGAAUUUUUUAGGAACUUUGGAUGCAAAGAAAAAGAGCAGCUUCAUAUGGUACAAUCUCCCACCAUGCUUGGGAUGAGAAGAGAUGUCAAAACCCUGCAACAGAACACAGCUACUCCAGAAAGCAAGGGAUCAUUGACUACUCAUUGAAGCUACAUCUCAACACGUGAUGAUUGCAUUUGUUUCAAGAAGAUUACUGGAAUUUUGUCCAGAAUGGUUUCAGUGCCAGUCCAACAUAAUGUAAAGAUUUUCUGAAGAUUGAAGUCUUCAUGGUUGUGAAAGAGAAAUCACAAAGACUAAAAGAGAAAAUGUGUUGCUGUGUUAGUUAUUAAAUAAAAGUGUUUCCCCUACUCUCUGGAGACAGAAUUACAAAGAAAAGCUGAAGUCAUCUAAGAUUUAUUUCUCAGUCCCUAACUGCUUGUGAAUAUGGAUCAAGAUUGACACCCAGUGGCCAAAUUUAAUCCUUUCUUUUUUUUCCACUGAAAUUCCCUUUCUGGGUAAUUAGCCAUUUUCUAAAAUGUCCCUUUAUUUGUUUUCAAUUGUAAAUAUUAUUAAAAUCUAUGUCUUGUUUA